rfam:Bacillus sp. FJAT-27916 Scaffold1, whole genome shotgun sequence.
UUCUUAUCUAGAGAGGCGGAGGGACUGGCCCUGCGAAACCUCAGCAACCUGGACAAACAGUGUCCAAGGUGCUAAAUCCAGCAAGCUUAGCUUGAAAGAUGAGUG